GUCCUGAACUACUUUUAAUCUUUCUUGAAUAAUCUUAAUUUUCGUUCCACCAAAUCAGGGCCAAUGGUCAGCAUCUCACCUAUUUCAUCCCAAUAUAAGGGAGAUCCACACUUUCGCCCAUACAACGUUUCAAAUGGUGCCAUAUCUAUCCCGCUAUGACAGCUAUUAUUGUAACAAAACUCCAUUAGUUUCACCAACCUAUCCCCACUGUCCGAGAAGUCUAGAACACAUGCUCUUAGCAUGUCUUCCAAUAUCUGUACGAUCUUUUCGGACU
rnacentral:lncRNA from 1 species